AACCUUAUGGACCUGCGGGCGUAUACCUGCGGAGGGAUCAUUAAAUUGUUGCAUAUAACAUAAACCCUUUGGCAAGUCCAAUGUUUUUUUAAUCCUAAUGCUAGCUUGACUACUUUGAAUCUGACAGAAGGCUUUGCUAAUGAAAAAAAACUUUCAGCAAUGGAUCU
rnacentral:misc_RNA from 1 species